AAACUCAAAGGAAUUGACGGGGAGCACCACAACGGGUGGAGCUUGCGUUUUAAGUUGGAUUCAACGCCGGAAAUCUUACCGGGACCGACAGCAAUAUGAAGGCCAGGCUGAAGACUUUGCCGGAUUAGCUGAGAGGUGGUGCAUGGCCGUCGUCAGUUCGUACUGUGAAGCAUCCUGUUAAGUCAGGCAACGAGCGAGACCCACGCCCACAGUUGCCAGCGUACUCUCCGGAGUGACGGGUACACUGUGGGGACCGCCGCUGCUAAAGCGGAGGAAGGAAUGGGCAACGGUAGGUCAGUAUGCCCCGAAUAUCCCGGGCUACACGCGAGCUACAAUGGUUGGUACAAUGGGUAUCUACCCCGAAAGGGGACGGGAAUCUCCUAAAACCAAUCUUAGUUCGGAUUGAGGGCUGCAACUCGCCCUCAUGAAGCUGGAAUCCGUAGUAAUCGCGUUUCAACAGAACGCGGUGAAUACGUCCCUGCUCCUU
rnacentral:rRNA from 1 species